GACGAACGCUGGCGGCGUGCUUAACACAUGCAAGUCGAACGGAAAGGCCCUGCUUUUGUUGGGUUCUCGAGUGGCGAACGGGGGAGUAACACGUGAGUAACCUGCCCCUGACUUUGUGAUAACUUCAGGAAACUGGGGCUAAUACCGCAUAGGAGCUCCUGCUGCAUGGUGGGGGUUGGAAAGUUUCGGCUGUUGGGGAUGGACUGGCUGGUUAUCCGCUUGUUGGUGGGGUAGUGGCUUACCAAGGGUUUGACGGGUAGCCGGCCUGAGAGGGUGACCGGCCACAUUGGGACUGAGAUACGGCCCAGACUCCUACGGGAGGCAGCAGUGGGGAAUAUUGCACAAUGGGCGGAAGCCUGAUGCAGCAACGCCGCGUGCGGGAUGACGGCCUUCGGGUUGUAAACCGCUUUCGACUGUGACGAAGCGUGAGUGACGGUAAUGGGUAAAGAAGCACCGGCUAACUACGUG
rnacentral:rRNA from 1 species